UGUGGCUUUGCCCGCUUUAAAAAGACGGCGAAUAAGGGGAGGGCAAGUCGGGUGUCAGCCGCCGCGGUAAUACCCGCUCCCCGAGUGGUGGAGGCUAUUACUGGGCCUAAAGCGCCCGUAGCCGGCCCGGUGUGUCCCUCGUUAAAUCCACGGGCUUAAACCCGUGGGCUGCGGGGGAUACUACCGGGCUUGGGGGUGGGAGAGGCGCCCGGUAUUCCCGGGGUAGGGGUAAAAUCCUCUGAUCCCGGGAGGACCAUCAGUGGCGAAGGCGGGGCGCCAGAACACGCCCGACGGUGAGGGGCGAAAGCUGGGGGAGCAAACGGGAUUAGAUACCCCGGUAGUCCCAGCUGUAAACGAUGCGGGCUAGCUGUCGGGGCGGCUACGGGCCGCCCCGGUGGCGAAGGGAAGCCAUUAAGCCCGCCGCCCGGGGAGUACGGCCGCAAGGCUGAAACUUAAAGGAAUUGGCGGGGGAGCACCACAAGGGGUGGACGUUGCGGCUUAAUCGGAUUCAACGCCGGAAACCUUACCGGGGCUGACGGCAGGAUGAAGGUCGGGCUGACGACCCUACCUGACGAGCCGAGAGGAGGUGCAUGGCCGUCGCCGGUGCGUGCCGUGAGGUGUCCUGUUAAGUCAGGCAACGGACGAGACCCGCGCCCCCAGUUGCCAGCGGCCGAGAGGCGCCGGGCACUCUGGGGGGACUGCCCCCGAAAGGGGGAGGAAGGAGCGGGCUACGGCAGGUCGGUAUGCCCCGAAUGCCCCGGGCCGCACGCGACGUUCAAUGGCGGGGACAGCGGGAUGCGACCCCGAAAGGGGGAGCCAAUCCCUAAACCCCGCCUCAGUAGGGAUCGAGGGUUGCAACUCGCCCUCGUGAACGCGGAAUCCCUAGUAACCGCGCGUUAACACCGCGCGGUGAAUACGUCCCCGCUCCUUGCACACACCGCCCGUCA
rnacentral:rRNA from 1 species